ACUCCUACGGGAGGCAGCAGUGGGGAAUAUUGGACAAUGGGCGAAAGCCUGAUCCAGCCAUGCCGCGUGUGUGAAGAAGGUCUUCGGAUUGUAAAGCACUUUAAGUUGGGAGGAAGGGCAGUAAAUUAAUACUUUGCUGUUUUGUACGUUACCGACAGAAUAAGCACCGGCUAACUCUGUGCCAGCAGCCGCGGUAAUACAGAGGGUGCAAGCGUUAAUCGGAAUUACUGGGCGUAAAGCGCGCGUAGGUGGUUUGUUAAGUUGGAUGUGAAAUCCCCGGGGCUCAACCUGGGAACUGCAUUCAAAACUGACUGACUAGAGUAUGGUAGAGGGUGGUGGAAUUUCCUGUGUAGCGGUGAAAUGCGUAGAUAUAGGAAGGAACACCAGUGGCGAAGGCGACCACCUGGACUAAUACUGACACUGAGGUGCGAAAGCGUGGGGAGCAAACAGGAUUAGAUA
rnacentral:rRNA from 1 species